AGAAAAGUAGGUGCCGCCCCGCACAGGGGCAACGCUAAUAGACCUCUACCAAAUCAAGGAAAGGGGCCAAGAACAAAAAACCAAACCCUCACACAGCAACAC
rnacentral:sRNA from 1 species